CCACGGGUACCAUAGGCGGACCGGUUAUGACGAAUAUAUAAGGCGUGUAGACUUGCAUAGAUAUGCAACGGGUGUUGUGACGCAAUUCCGGGAAUCUAAUAGGACGCCUGAAAGAGACCCAUAUUACCGUGGAACGCAUAUAACGUUCAGGAAAUUGAUUUGAGGAGCAGACCGAAAACCAGCUGCCAGCGUGUAUUUAAAAGGAAAAGUAAGAAGGAAGAAUCUAGAUCCACCAACUGAAGAAGCCUUAGGAUAAAGUGAAAUGCGU